GGUGGAUCCUGGCUCCACCUCUACCAGACCUCAUUUAAGGGUUGGCAGAGGCAAAGUUAUCUUUCUGGAGAUCUCUGAAUGCCUGAGAGCUUCUGAAGUUUUAGUCCUGUUUCUUGAAGUUGGCCCAGUAACAUGAAAAAACAAUGAAGAGUAACAUUAGAAGAUGUUAUGUAACUCAAUUCCAAUACUGACUGAAAAUGUAUAAAGGAAUUCUAAGCACUGAACAACAACUGAGGGGAAACGGAAGUUUCAAGACAAGUUCUUGGCUAUAUGUAUCAAAACAUAGUGGAGGCUUGAUAACUUCCAGCAGGACAAUUUUAUUACAGCCUGUGAAUUGAAACUGCAAAUGAGGGUUAAUUCAAAACACUGGGAGAAUAUUAAUGGUUACCAUAUUUCAAUGUGUAAUAAGGAAGAAUGUCAUAUGGGAUGCACCAAAUGAUAGCAUCACUGCCUGGGAUGAACUACUCUCUCUGCUCUGCAAGACUUACAACAGCUUGGGUUAAGUUAGAAAUGUGUUAAAAGUGGUCUCAUACUACUCAUACUUUUAUUUUUUCCUUUAAAUUGUGGCUAGAAUAUUCCCCGCAAUCCUGGGAUUAAUUCAUUCAUCAUUCUGUAAGCAGGAAGAAAGAAUGUGAAAAAGCUUUACGCUUCCACAUGCAUAUAUUCUCUUAUAAUAGCUUUCAUUUUCAUACUAACUCACCAGCUGGAAUGAAACAUUAGAACAAACUGUGGUCUCACAGGAGCCUUCAGCGUUCUGAGACAAUGAACAGUGUUGUAUAAAUGGAUAUUCUUUAGUCAGUUUGUAUCAGUUUUCACUACAGCAUUAUUUCUGAUCUAGUCUUCCUCAAGGUGGAGUCCAUUAAUGUAUUUUGUCCAGUUAUUGCUUGGAUUUAUUUUUGUUUUGUAUCUUUGUGCCAUAUUGAUGCAAGUUACAGUAUACAUAUUCCUGAAAGGAAUACAAGCAAAAUGAACUAACAUAAGUUGCCUGUCUUGCUGCUGGCUUGCCAGUAUCAGCCAUUCUGCUUAAGACUUUCCCACUGUAUUAGGGAGAAGACCAGAAAUUAGAACAAGAAGCCAGAGUGGCUUCUCAGGUGUCCAGUUUUCUACAUGAAGAUAUAUCCUAGAGAAAUGAAGCAAUAAGUGUUUUCAUUGUUUUCAUUUCUUUUUUUUUUUUUUUUUUUUUUUUUCAAUUUUGAAGCUUGUUUUUACUCUCAUAAGCAAAUGUUUUCCUCUUAUUUUAUCCCAUGUCAGUUUAGAAAACAAACAUCCAUGAACUAGAAGAAAACAAUAUAGCUCCUAAGAGGCUGUUGGAUUUUUGUUCAGAUGCCUAACAACUGCUACGUUCUUCACUUGUUCCAGAAAUAAUUUGCCCAUGUAAAUCUUUAAUAAAACAGCCACGUUCCUUCUU